UCGGGCUACUUCUGCAGCGAAUGGUUCUUUUUCAUAACGAAGUGCGCAGACUAUUGCUUAAGGAGUGCGGAAAACAGUGUUUGAGCUUUCUUUGUGCCUCUUCGGUAUUUUCCUCUUGAUCUUCUUGAUAUCGGGCUUGCUAUCGUUCUGAAGCAUGAAGCUCUAUCGGUAACUGAGCUUCUAAGGCUCUUUGGAGAUAUGGCACAUCGUUUUUAGGGAGAAGAUGCGGUGUUGGCUCCUCGAGUUUCUAGAGCUCAUUGGAG
rnacentral:lncRNA from 1 species